AGCAGCCGCGGUAAUUCCAGCUCCAAUAGCGUAUAUUAAAGUUGUUGCAGUUAAAAAGCUCGUAGUUGAACUUCAGGCCUGUCCAGAUGGUCCGCCUUAAUUGGUGUGUACUGUCCUUGGGUGGGUCCUACCUUCUGGCGAAGCGGCAUGGCCUUAAUUGGUUGUGUCGGGGAACCGGGACUUUUACUGUGAAAAAUUAGAGUGUUCAAAGCAGGCAUUAUAUGCUCGAAUACAUUAGCAUGGAAUAAUGGAAUAGGACGAUGGUUCCAUUUUGUUGGUUCUAGGACCGUUGUAAUGAUUAAUAGGGAUAGUUGGGGGCAUUAGUAUUCAAUUGCAGAGUGAAAUUCUUGGAUUUAUUGAAGACUAACUACUGCGUAAAGCAUUUGCCUAAGGAUGUUUUCAUUAAUACAAGAACGAAAGUUAGGGGAUCGAAGACGAUACAGAUACCGUCGUAGUACUUAACCAUAAACUAUGCCGACUAGGAAUCGGGCGAUGUUGACAAAAUGACUCG
rnacentral:rRNA from 1 species